rnacentral:lncRNA from 1 species
GUCCCUCAUAAUGUUAAUUAAGUCCAUUAAUAUCAGUGUAGAGUGUAUAAAAGUGGAAUCAAUAGAGGACAAAUGCAUCUAAAUAUGAGGCGGCUGAUAACAACGAGACCGCCGGAGAGAACGCACAGCCUGCGGUAGUCCAGCAGAGGUUUGGAGAUGGACAGAUAAAUCACUUCAAACCUGACUCAUCCCCCGUACAGACUGCAGAGCAAACAUUCUGGCUUAUUAAAAGGAAUUCGACUCAUCGUUGA